rnacentral:rRNA from 1 species
AUGGGGGCGGUUUUGAGAGAUGACAAAGCUUCAGCUCUCAAAUUUGGUCUAACACUGGCGCAGAGGGCGGGGUGUAAUCGCCUUAUUAUUAACUCGGACAAUCUGAAGGUGAUUGAAACCAUGCAGAACGGAGGACGGUCGGCGGGGUGCGGCAGCGACAAUCUUCGAUGA